rnacentral:rRNA from 1 species
CCUACGGGAGGCUGCAGUGGGGAAUAUUGGACAAUGGGCGAAAGCCUGAUCCAGCCAUGCCGCGUGUGUGAAGAAGGCCUUCGGGUUGUAAAGCACUUUCAGUGGGGAAGAAAGCCUUGGGUCUAAUACCCUCGAGGAAGGACAUCACCCACAGAAGAAGCACCGGCUAACUCCGUGCCAGGAGCCGCGGUAAUACGGAGGGUGCGAGCGUUAAUCGGAAUUACUGGGCGUAAAGCGCGCGUAGGCGGUCUGAUAAGCCGGUUGUGAAAGCCCCGGGCUCAACCUGGGAACGGCAUCCGGAACUGUCAGGCUAGAGUGCAGGAGAGGAAGGUAGAAUUCCCGGUGUAGCGGUGAAAUGCGUAGAGAUCGGGAGGAAUACCAGUGGCGAAGGCGGCCUUCUGGACUGACACUGACGCUGAGGUGCGAAAGCGUGGGUAGCAAACAGGAUUAGAUACCCCUGUAGUC